rnacentral:lncRNA from 10 species
CAAGGAUGCUCUGCCUACAGUGUAGCCAUUCUUGAUCCCUUUACUUUCCUAAUAAACUUGUUUUCACUUUAUAAACUUGCCCUGAAUUCCUUCUUACAUGAGAUCCAAGAACCCUCUCCUGGGGUCUGGAUCAGGACCCGUUUCCAGUAACAUCUUUCUGGUGAAUCCCAGGUGGAUGAUACUGAAGAGACCCCCAACCCAAAGGAAAAUCAUCUGCAUGCACCAGUUGACUGACUUUGGGAUACAACUGGAGAAACUGGUUAUUUUACCAAGGCUUUGACUGGAAUGGUGUGUUUACCUUUAAGGAAUCAAACUUGACUUAGAGAGCCAAGAAGAGCCCCUUGAAAAAAACUAGCCUCAUACCUUGUCUACACAGUCCCUGUACAGGGUUCCUGACCUGUGGUAAGUAAAGAAUGUCACCUUCUGAAAGGCCCAGGAGCCCCAAGUUAUUUUGGGACCUCAAGAGGAGAAGAAUUUACUCAACUCAUAGAUAUCUGGGGUACAAACCCAUGGCUAGGCUUGGCUUUAAAAAAAAGUCUUAUCUGAGAUUCCCUCUAUGGAACAAAAUUUCAUCAAAGACAAAUUUAAAAGCCUAUGUGAAAAAUAAUUAUUCUUGCUGCACUGUAUACAAAUAAUCAGGCCAAGUAUAAUAAAGCAAAUUAGUCUUACUAUGAUUUGUCUCCAGCAAAAAUGGGAAACUAGAGAACAAUUAUGUUUCAAGAACUGUGGUAUAACCUGUUAUUAAGUUCUAGUCUCAUCAGUUGAUUUUAAGGUUUUUUUCUGUAAUUUAGGCCAACCCUGUUUAUUCCUGUGAACCAACCAGUGAUCUCUUGACUGCUGCUCAGAAGAAACAACAGGGAUGGAUAUCAUCUUUUGUCAGAACUCGGAGUCAUGAACGGCCCUUGCCAUACCAAUGCUUUCUGACUGAGCUCCUCUCUAUCUACCCUGAAUGCAAGAGACCCAAUAGUUAGGCAGGAAUGGCAUUGCCCCUAUCAGCUUGAAGAAGUUACAGAAGAUGCAUCUUUAUCCCUCUGCAACCCUUAGGAUUAAGGGUUUUCUUAUAAAAGGGACGGGGGAAAUGUUAGAGGUGUUUGAACCAGAGCAACUCCAUCUUGAAUAGGGGCUGGGUAAAAUGAGGCUGAGACCUAUUGGGCUGCAUUCCCAGACGGUUAAGGCAUUCUGUGUCACAGGAUGAGUUAGGAGGUCAGCACAAGAUACAGGUCAUAAAGAUCUUGCUGAUAAACAGGAUGCAGUAAAGAAGCUGGCUAAAACCACCAAAACCAAGAUGGUGAUGAGAGUAAACUCUGAUCAUCCUCACUGCUACACUCCCACCAGUGCCAUGACAGUUUACAAAUGCCAUGGCAACGUCAGGAAGAUACCCUAUACGGUCUAAAAAGGAGAGGCAUGAAUAAUCCACCCAUUGUUUAGCAUAUCAUCAAGAAAUAACGAUAAAAAUGGGUAACCAGCAGCCCUCGAGGCUGCUCUGCCUAUGGAACACCCAU